GAUGAACGCUAGCGGCAGGCCUAAUACAUGCAAGACGAACGGUAAGUUGAGUAGCAAUACUUAGCCAAGAGUGUCGUACGGGUGCGUAACACGUAUGCAACCUACCCUAUACAGGAGGAUAGCCUAGGGAAACCUGGAUUAACCCUUCAUAGUAUUAUUGGAUGGCAUCAUUUGAUAAUUAAAACUGAGGUGGUAUAGGAUGGGCAUGCGUCUGAUUAGUUAGUUGGCGGGGUAAUGGCCCACCAAGACGAUGAUCAGUAGGGGUUCUGAGAGGAAGAUCCCCCACACUGGCACUGAGAUACGGGCCAGACUCCUACGGGAGGCAGCAGUAGGGAAUAUUGGUCAAUGGAUGCAAGUCUGAACCAGCCAUGCCGCGUGCAGGAAGAAGGCCUUCUGGGUUGUAAACUGCUUUUGCCAGGGGAUAAAAUUUCCAUGCGUGGAAAACUGAAGGUACCUGGUGAAUAAGCCACGGCUAACUACGUGCCAGCAGCCGCGGUAAU
rnacentral:rRNA from 1 species